rnacentral:rRNA from 1 species
UACGUAGGGUCCGAGCGUUGUCCGGAAUUACUGGGCGUAAAGGGCGCGCAGGCGGCUGCUCAAGUCAGGCGUGAAAGGCCUGGGCUCAACCCGGGAAUUGCGCUUGAGACUGGGCUGGCUUGAGUGCGGGAGAGGAUGGUGGAAUUCCCAGUUGUAGAGGUGAAAUUCGUAGAUAUUGGGAAGAACACCGAUGGCGAAGGCAGGUCUCUGGGCAUUAACUGACGCUGAGGAGCGAAAGCAUGGGGAGCGAACAGG